rnacentral:misc_RNA from 1 species
GUUUUGCAAAUAGGCAUUGAAUGAACGCUAAAAUGCCUCGGAUCCUCGGCGCAUAUUUGGAAUCGGACCUUUAGCUGUAGAAUUGUGGCGGGGGGACUUUCUUGGCUGCCGUAUGAUGUUGAGCGAGGAAAGGUGAAGUCGAGAAAUUACGUAUGGUAUAGACAAUUAGACAUGAUGUUGGCCCUGCUAAAUUUACAGACGCUAAACAAUAAACGUGACGAAACUGGAGAAUUUUUCGGAAUUCCGUUGCCGAUUGCGCAUGCUCAGCGUUUUUCCUUUUCUCCUUGCCCC